GGGAUAACACUUGGAAACAGGUGCUAAUACCGUAUAACACUAUUUUCCGCAUGGAAGAAAGUUGAAAGGCGCUUUUGCGUCACUGAUGGAUGGACCCGCGGUGCAUUAGCUAGUUGGUGAGGUAACGGCUCACCAAGGCCACGAUGCAUAGCCGACCUGAGAGGGUGAUCGGCCACACUGGGACUGAGACACGGCCCAGACUCCUACGGGAGGCAGCAGUAGGGAAUCUUCGGCAAUGGACGAAAGUCUGACCGAGCAACGCCGCGUGAGUGAAGAAGGUUUUCGGAUCGUAAAACUUUGUUGUUAGAGAAGAACAAGGAUGAGAGUAAAAUGUUCAUCCCUUGACGGUAUCUAACCAGAAAGCCACGGCUAACUACGUGCCAGCAGCCGCGGUAAUACGUAGGUGGCAAGCGUUGUCCGGAUUUAUUGGGCGUAAAGCGAGCGCAGGCGGUUUCUUAAGUCUGAUGUGAAAGCCCCCGGCUCAACCGGGGAGGGUCAUUGGAGACUGGGAGACUUGAGUGCAGAAGAGGAGAGUGGAAUUCCAUGUGUAGCGGUGAAAUGCGUAGAUAUAUGGAGGAACACCAGUGGCGAAGGCGGCUCUCUGGUCUGUAACUGACGCGGAGGCUCGAAAGCGUGGGGAGCGAACAGGAUUAGAUACCCUGGUAGUCCACGCCGUAAACGAUGAGUGCUAAGUGUUGGAGGGUUUCCGCCCUUCAGUGCUGCAGCA
rnacentral:rRNA from 1 species